GCUUAGAGUUUGAUCCUGGCUCAGGAUGAACGCUGGCGGUAUGCUUAACACAUGCAAGUCGAACGGAGUACUUCGGUACUUAGUGGCGGACGGGUGAGUAACGCGUGAGAAUCUGCCUUCAGGAUGGGGAUAACAGUGGGAAACCAUUGCUAAUACCCAAUGAGCCGAGAGGGAAAAAAUUUAUUGCCUGAAGAGGAGCUCGCGUCCGAUUAGUUAGUUGGUGGGGUAAAGGCUUACCAAGACGGCGAUCGGUAGCUGGUCUGAGAGGAUGAGCAGCCACACUGGGACUGAGACACGGCCCAGACUCCUACGGGAGGCAGCAGUGGGGAAUUUUCCGCAAUGGGCGCAAGCCUGACGGAGCAAUACCGCGUGAGGGAGGAAGGCCUUUGGGUUGUAAACCUCUUUUCUUAAGGAAGAAGAUCUGACGGUACUUAAGGAAUCAGCAUCGGCUAACUCCGUGCCAGCAGCCGCGGUAAUACGGAGGAUGCAAGCGUUAUCCGGAAUUAUUGGGCGUAAAGCGUCCGCAGGCGGCACUAUAAGUCUGCUGUCAAAGACCGCAGCUCAACUGCGGAAAGCCAGUGGAAACUGUAGAGCUAGAGUACGGUAGGGGUAGAGGGAAUUCCCAGUGUAGCGGUGAAAUGCGUAGAGAUUGGGAAGAACACCAGUGGCGAAAGCGCUCUACUGGGGCCGUAACUGACGCUCAGGGACGAAAGCUAGGGGGAGCGAAAGGGAUUAGAUACCCCUG
rnacentral:rRNA from 1 species